rnacentral:rRNA from 1 species
AACUCAAAGGAAUUGACGGGGGCCCGCACAAGCGGAGGAACAUGUGGUUUAAUUCGAUGAUACGCGAGGAACCUUACCUGGGCUUAAAUGGGGAGUGGACAGCUGUCGAAAGAUGGUUUUCUUCGGACACUCUUCAAGGUGCUGCAUGGUUGUCGUCAGCUCGUGCCGUGAGGUGUCGGGUUAAGUCCCAUAACGAGCGCAACCCUUACCGUUAGUUACCAUCAGGUUAAGCUGGGGACUCUAGCGGGACUGCCACCGUAAGGUGAGAGGAAGGUGGGGAUGACGUCAAAUCAGCACGGCCCUUAUGUCCAGGGCUACACACGUGUUACAAUGGCCGGUACAAAGGGCAGCUACUUCGCGAGAAGAUGCUAAUCUCGAAAGCCGGUCUCAGUUCGGAUCGAAGUCUGCAACCCGACUUCGUGAAGCUGGAUUCGCUAGUAAUCGCGCAUCAGCCAUGGCGCGGUGAAUACGUUCCCGGGCCUU